AUAUCAGUAAGCGGAGGAAGAGAAACUAACAAGGAUUCCCCCAGUAACGGCGAGUGAAGCGGGACGAGCCCAAAUUUGAAAUCUGGGGGCCGCGCCCUCCGAAUUGUAGUUUCGAGAGGCAUCCACUGGACGGCGCGGGGCCGCACAGGUCCCCUGGAACGGGGCACCGCAGAGGGUGAGAGUCCCGUUGUGCGGGGCCGCGCCGGCCGCCGGGUGCGUCGACGAGUCGAGCUGUUUGGGAGUGCAGCUCAAAGGGGUGGUAAACUCCAUCCAAGGCUAAAUACGGGCAAGAGACCGAUAGCGGACAAGUACCGUGAGGGAAAGAUGAAAAGCACCUUGGAAAGGGAGUUAAACAGCGCGUGAAAUUGUUAAAAGGGAAACGAUUGGGGCCGUGGUGCGGCGGGCGGUCGAGCAACUCGGCGCCACUGCUGCGGGUCAACGGCGGUGCGCCGCGCUGCAUGAGCUGGCGGGAAAGGUGGGGCUUUUGCCUUUUACAGUCCCGCGCAGCGGCAGUGCGAUGCACCGGACGUCCUCGUGUCCAUUGCGCAGCGGUGCGGCAGGCGCCUGCGGACAGCAUGCUGGCCGUGUGGACAUACCUAGCGUACAAGUGCAAUGCAGAGGACCGCGUUGGCAGAGCGGCCCCAAACGA
rnacentral:rRNA from 1 species